rnacentral:lncRNA from 10 species
AUCUUUGCAGCCUCCCUAUCACCUCACCUCAGUCCUAUAUUCAAUAUUUAUCUGUUCAAUAAUUUCAAUCACAGCCAUUUUUCCAAUGCCCCCAUCUUCCCACACCCUUGAAAUAAUUUUCAACUCCUUUACUAUCUUAUUUUUGUGUUCUAGCAAUCACUUGGCCAUGCCAAUUUCUUCUACAGAUAUUUUUCUUAGAUCAGCCCUAUUAUUUGCAUUUAUUUAGUUAACAUUUUUAAUAGGUCUUACCAUAGAGAUGGAUCACUGUUGGCCUAAUCCAGCCUGUUGUUUCUACUUCCAUGGAUUGUCAUUAUGUACACAGCUGCUGAAAAGAAUGGACUCCAAUCAUCACUUUUAUCCUGAUACUCUGUAGCCAGAAAACUGGGCGUAUUGGUUGCUAGAAAUAUGCAAUUUGUUUGCAAGUGGUUCUCAAGCUGUGAUAUUUAACAGAAUUCCAAAAAGAGGCAUUUAAUUCUACAUUUGUCUGAGCAUCACCUCCAGAAGUUCUGAUUCUUUAAAUGUGGUGAAGACAGCUAUGCUGUAGUGAAAGGAGCUUUGAACUUGGAUUUAAAGUUGGGUUCAAGACAUGAUCCACUGUCAACUGUGUUUGGAUGGGGUCAGCUAAUCUCUCUCCCUGGAGGGGGAUCCAAACAACCAUUCCCCAUCUGCUGAGAGUUCAUAGCAAGACCCUACUUUGGACUUGGCCUUAGUCAAAGACAGUUGUCUAACCUAAGCUUCCUCUCCUUCCCUAAGGGUGGUCUGCAUCCAAUGCCUAACCCAGGGUACCUUUUUAGAGGGCCAUCCUAGCCGCAGAGCUCCUGGUGGGGUCAGCUGAGGCCUCUAGUGCAAUUGUAUCACAUUUCAUCUCCAUCUGCCCCAUUCUGCUUCUACCAUCCCCUCCACAUUUGUCCACCCUGUGAGUGUCCCCCAGUAAACCUGUGUGCAAGUCUUUGUCUCAGAGUCCUUUUCCCAGAGAACAUUACCUAAGACACUUGUGGAAAUAAAGAACAGUCAAAUGAGAACAAGCAGAGGCUAUUUAUUCAGAGCUUGCAAUAACAAAGGAGUCCAUC